CAAUGGACGCAGUCUGAUGGAGCACGCCGCGUGAGUGAAGAAGGCUUUCGGGUCGUAAAACUCUGUUGUUGGAGAAGAAUGGUCGGCAGAGUAACUGUUGUCGGCGUGACGGUAUCCAACCAGAAAGCCACGGCUAACUACGUGCCAGCAGCCGCGGUAAUACGUAGGUGGCAAGCGUUAUCCGGAUUUAUUGGGCGUAAAGCGAGCGCAGGCGGUUUUUUAAGUCUGAUGUGAAAGCCCUCGGCUUAACCGAGGAAGCGCAUCGGAAACUGGGAAACUUGAGUGCAGAAGAGGACAGUGGAACUCCAUGUGUAGCGGUGAAAUGCGUAGAUAUAUGGAAGAACACCAGUGGCGAAGGCGGCUGUCUGGUCUGUAACUGACGCUGAGGCUCGAAAGCAUGGGUAGCGAACAGGAUAGAUACCUGGGUUAGUCCA
rnacentral:rRNA from 2 species